rnacentral:rRNA from 1 species
GACGAACGCUGGCGGCGUGCCUAAUACAUGCAAGUAGAACGCUGAAGAGAGGAGCUUGCUCUUCUUGGAUGAGUUGCGGACGGGUGAGUAACGCGUAGGUAACCCGCCUGGUAGUGGGGGAUGACUAUUGGAAACGAUAGCUAAUACCGCAUAAAAUUGAUUAUUGCAUGAUAAUUAAUUGAAAGAUGCAAUUGCAUCACUACCAGAUGGACCUGCGUUGUAUUAGCUAGUUGGUGAGGUGACGGCUCACCAAGGCGACGAUACAUAGCCGACCUGAGAGGGUGAUCGGCCACACUGGGACUGAGACACGGCCCAGACUCCUACGGGAGGCAGCAGUAGGGAAUCUUCGGCAAUGGGGGGAACCCUGACCGAGCAACGCCGCGUGAGUGAGGAAGGUUUUCGGAUCGUAAAGCUCCGUUGUAAGAGAAGAACGGGUGUGAGAGUGGAAAGUUCACACUGUGACGGUAUCUUACCAGAAAGGGACGGCUAACUACGUGC